rnacentral:lncRNA from 1 species
CCUUGGUCCGCCCUUCCACGAUCGCCGCCUUCACCUUCUCCAAAUCCCUCACGUCCACGAACGUCGUCGUGAUGUUGGAAGACCUCGGCAGGAAGUGGGUGAGUAGGGCGUGGGUCCCACCGUAGAGGGCCUGGGAGGCCACAAUGUUGUCGCCGCUGCUGACGAGGUGGAGCAGAACCGAGGAAAUCGCCGACAUGCCGCUGGCGGUGCAGUAGGCGGCCUCGGUGCCCUCGAGGGCGGCAAUCUGACGGCUGAGAUUGAGAACGGUGGGAUUGAAAUGACGGCUGUAGAUAAAGAAAUGGCGAUCGGGACCCA